UACGUAGGGUGCGAGCGUUAAUCGGAAUUACUGGGCGUAAAGCGUGCGCAGGCGGUUUUGCAAGCCGGAUGUGAAAUCCCCGGGCUUAACCUGGGAAUGGCAUUCGGGACUGCAAGGCUGGAGUGCGGCAGAGGAGACUGGAAUUCCUGGUGUAGCAGUGAAAUGCGUAGAUAUCGGAAGGAACACCUGUGGCGAAAGCGGCUCACUGGACCAUUACUGACGCUGAUGCACGAAAGCUAGGGGAGCAAACAGG
rnacentral:rRNA from 1 species